UCUCUGUACUCCACGGCCUCUUCCUCCCGACCUCUUUCUUCCCGAAUCGCGUCCGACGAGGAAGAAGAAUUAAAAGGGGCCGUUGUCCUGAUUUUUGCUAACGAGCUGAAAGAAGAAGAAAACCCUAGUCACUCGCUUCGUUCCCUCAGCUUAGCAGACUGUACGUCUCCUCUUGCAGUCAGCCUUCCUUAGUCAAGAAUCUAGUUGAAAUAGAGAGAAGAUGGGUAACCUGUGCUGCAGUGUUGAAGUUCCUAAAUCAACAGUAGCAAUCCAGCAAAAAUUUGGCAGGCAUCACAAAAAUCUGUAUGUUGGACGCCAUUGUUCUCCUUGGAUUUGCGGAUAUGAAGUUGUUGGUGAGCUAUCACUCAGAAUCCAGCAGUUGGAUGAUGUGAAAUGCAGUUCGAAGACCAAGGACAAUGAAAAUGUAGAUGUUAUUGCAUCAGUGCGAUAUAAAGUUGACAGGGUCUAUGAGGCCUUUUACACUUAUGAUAAUCCGAGGGAGCUAAUUCGGGAUUGCACGAAGCAUGCGAUUGGAUGUUACAUUGAAAGAUGCAACUUGGAUGAACUUAGUGACCUAGAACAAAUUUCCGCAUGUGUCAUACGAGAGUCAAAGAGCUUUUGGAUGACUCUGGAUAUGCUAUUGUGGAAGCCGUAAUUGUGGACAUAAAAUGGGAUACGCUUCUUGAGAAUCCUAUGAUGGAAAUCAAUGCUGGUAGGCAUAGGAAAUGACCGACUUCUAUGAAUGCAGAUCAUCUUUUGGGGUGCAAAUGUUCAGGAGAGUAGGAGACGACCUUUAACAACUAAGCUGUCCUUGCUGCUGCGGCCACCGAUUCUGCUGGUUGUCAUCCUGACUCUAUUAUCUCUUUAGCCUCAGUCAAGUUGAACCAGAGACUCUUGAUUUCAAGCAGUAGGGAUGGAGCUAUUAAGGUUUGGAAGUAAAUAAACUAUGCAUAACUUUACUAAUUGUAUAUAUGUAGAGUCAACUUAGUUGAACUAAUCCUCCAUGAAUUUUUUCUUAUAGUCCAGUGAUACAGUCUGUUCAGAGUAGUAACAUAUAUUGUCAGUCAGGAAUUCGCCUUGUUUA